UUGAUUCAAACAAGCUGUGUUUAUUUGUAGCCUUGGUAGCAAAAUUAACAAGAGAAGUCAUCCAAUCUAGGUCUAAAAUGUCGGAUUUUGAUGAAUUCGAGAGAUUGUUGACUGAAAAUAAGAAAGAGCGGGACAAGGAGAAUCGGCAUGGGUGGCGUACCCCGUCCCGCAGUCUCAGCCGAGAGAGGAAGAAGAGGUGCCGGGAAAGGAGGAAGAGCAGGGAAAGCCGUGGCGACAGCAAGGAACGUCGUCGACACAGGCGAAGCAUACAGACUCAAAAACAAUCCCAAGAGACUGUUGUGAGUCGCUCUCCAGCUCUGCACAGAGAGAAGAAGAAGAAAGUGAGGAAGUACUGGGAUGUCCCGGCACCAGGCUUCGAGCAUAUCACCCCCCUGCAGUACAAGGCUAUGCAGGCUGCUGGCCAGAUCCCAGCCACGGCCCUGCUGCCCACCAUGAUAACUCCAGAGGGGCUGCCCCCCGCCCCCACCUCUGUACCCGUGGUGGGCAGCCAAAUGACCAGGCAGGCCAGGAGGCUCUACGUAGGCAACAUACCGUUUGGCAUCACAGAGGAGGCAAUGAUGGAUUUCUUCAAUGCCCAGAUGUGCCUUGGCGGACUCACCCAGGCCCCUGGCAACCCUGUUCUAGCUGUACAGAUAAACCAGGACAAGAACUUUGCCUUCCUCGAGUUCCGCUCGGUGGACGAGACGACCCAGGCCAUGGCCUUUGACGGCAUCAUCUUCCAGGGUCAGAGCCUGAAGAUCAGACGGCCACACGACUACCAGCCCCUGCCCGGCAUGAGUGAGAGCCCCAGUGUCUAUGUACCAGGAGUGGUUUCGACCGUGGUGCCAGACUCAGCCCACAAACUCUUCAUCGGUGGCUUGCCAAAUUACCUUAAUGAUGAUCAGGUAAAAGAGCUAUUGACCUCCUUUGGCCCUCUGAAGGCCUUCAACCUGGUCAAAGACAGCGCCACGGCCCUCUCCAAGGGCUACGCCUUCUGUGAAUAUGUGGACGUCAAUUUGAACGACCAGGCAAUUGCAGGGUUGAAUGGGAUGCAGCUGGGGGACAAGAAGCUCCUGGUCCAGAGAGCCAGUGUUGGGGCCAAGAAUGCAGCUCUGACGGGUAUGAACCAGACCCCGGUGACCCUCCAGGUGCCAGGCCUGAUGCCCACCUCCAUGGCUUCGCUGGGUGGCCUACCCACUGAGGUCCUCUGCCUGAUGAACAUGGUGGCUGUGGAGGAGCUGCUGGAUGACGAGGAGUACGAGGAGAUCGUGGAGGACGUCCGGGAUGAGUGUGGCAAGUACGGCCAGGUGAAGAGCAUUGAAAUCCCCCGGCCUGUGGAUGGCCUGGAGGUCCCAGGCACUGGGAAGAUCUUUGUGGAGUUCAUGACGCUGUUUGACUCCCAGAAGGCCAUGCAGGCGCUGACAGGCAGGAAGUUUGCCAACAGGGUGGUGGUGACCAAGUACUGUGACCCAGACGCUUACCACCGCCGAGACUUCUGGUAGACCAGAGAGAGGGAGAGAAGCAGAGUUUUAUGUAAUGAUAUGAAUAUUUAUGAGCAUCACAACACUCCCAACUUGCAUUUUUUUUUAAAGAGGAGACAAAGUUUGAAUUUAGCUACUAGAGAGGCAGACUGGAAGACUUGUUACAAAGAUUAUUCCUAUAUUGUAUUAUAAGAAUGGGAGGUACAUUUUGUACAGCAAACUGGGUCUGGCCAGUGGAUAAUAUGUAUUUAUAUGGAGUAUUUAUUUAUUAAUUUAUCACUUUGAUAUAAUGAGUAUAAGAGGCCUAUUGAAGUUCAUUUAAGGCCACUUAUCAGCAGAAUUGGUCAAAUUCUGACUUUUCUCCAAUGAAUCAAGUUCAAUCACGAUUUUAACCAUUUUGUUUUAUCCAUACUCGAGCCAGGACUUUUUUUAUGUUCUAGCCCCCCACCCCCCCCCCCCCCCCCCACCCCCCACACACACACACACAUUUUCAGAACAUCAACACCACUUAUUGUGAAUUCAGCACUGACUUAAGUCUGAGGGGACCUUCAAGUAUUGUGUCUUUGUGUACAUUUAACUUAGCAUCACCGCCCUCUUUUGAUAACAAAAUGUCUGAAAAUGAUGCAAUGUGACUUUCUCAGUGGGCAACCUCCAUUCCACAGAAAACAAUGAGACCUCCAAAAUGGCAACUGCAUUGAUAUGGAGACCUUACAGGCCAGUAUAUUAACAGGAAGUACCUGCUGAACCAGGCCAGAUCCAGAGCCUGUAAUAGAAGCCUCUCGAUCACGCUGAUGCUAUGACACAGCGGGGAUGAUGAAAUGUAGUUUUAUUAACCCUAUCUCAUAGGGUUGUAUGUGUUUAAGUCUUUAACUGUAUUUUAGGCCUUACUGUAUGUCCAAUCAGCUACAUUAGAUUGGAUGCACUGCAUAUAUUAUUCACCCAAUCAGAGGUACUGUAACUGGAUACAUUUGGGUCGUGUUCAUUAGGGCAUACCAUAGCAAAAUGUUUUGCGACUGAAAAAAUAAAUAUGUAUUUCUUAUUGUACAAGUUCAGGUAGUUCAGAUCCCUCCCCGUUUCAGUCCGUUUUCUUCAGUUUGGUGCCUAAUGAACUCUCCCCCUCCACAGCUUUCUCUCUCGCUCUCUCUCUCUCUCGCUCUCUCUCCUCAGACAAACUGCUGUACAGCCGAGAGAGAGUUAUCACUGCCCUGCCUCAACCCUUGGUUGGUCUUGUAAAACAACAUUGACACAAUGUUAUUUAUUUCACUGUAAAAUCAUAUCUGCUGUUUUUUUUGUCGUACGUUUUGCCUCAAAGUGAUAUCUUUAGGACCAAAAAAAGAUGUGGAUAUGCACGUGUGAGGCUUUCUGGAGGAUGACAUGAAUUCAGGUUCGUGACAGGCAAUAAAAUAGAAAAGUCAAGAUAAUUUGCAGGCGUGGGUGGGCUCUAUUAAAACGAUGUGAAGAGUUCAAUUACAUGGCCCUUUCUUCCACUUAUACUCCUCUUUCUUAUUCAAUUGUUUUCGAUUUUCUCUUUACAACAAAGAUCACACUUGGAAGAACCUGUCUGCUAUUAUUUUCCUUUCUAUUCCCAUCCCCAAAACUUUCCGUUGCUUUGAAUUUCAUAAUGCUCUUUUAUUUUGACAGGUUUGCGUUCCAAAUGCUGUAGUUUCCUGAGGAUCUUUUAGAUGAUUUGCAUUACCAAAGCUUCUCCACGUCUGAGAUUGUUUGUUGUUUUCCGAAACAGGUUGAACGAUUAUGUAAGAGAAUGGCUUUGACUCUGUCCAUAUACUGUCAACAGGUUAGCAGGGUAUUGAAUCAGAAUUUGAGUGUGCUUGUGGCUCGUCCUUGGUAUUUUAUGGAGCCAACUAUCUGAGAUCUGCUCCAAGGCGGAUAUAUUUUUGAUGGUGGAUGGAAAAUGGAUCAAAAGGUGAAAUGGAACAUUUCUAUUACAUGUUCCCAAAUGGGUUGAAUCGGUCAGUCUUUAAUUUCACAGUGCCUCGCAGUAGGGUUGGGGGAAAAAGACAACGCCAGCCCAAAGUUCUAUUCAGUGAGUUUUGAUAACUACACUGAACAAAAAAUAUAAACUCAACAUGUAAAGGGUUGGUCCCAUGUUUCAUGAGUGGAAAUAAAAGACCCCGGAAAUGUUUCCUAUGCACAAAAAUGGGCACCUUGUGCUGGGGACAAUAAAAGGCCACUCUAAAAUGUGCAGUUAUGUCACGCAACACAAUGCCAUAGCUGUCUCA